rnacentral:lncRNA from 1 species
ACUUUAAUACCUAGUUUUUAAGCAUUUUAAUCUGAUGAAUUUUACUGUUCUUCAACAACUGCCAACACAACUGAGUUUAGGUAUGUUUUAAAUGGGUUUGAUGUCAUAUUUCGUCAAUUCAUCUAUUUGAUCUUCGGUUUUCAAAUGUUUGGUUUUGAGCGUUCCUGAUGAAGGUAAAUCCACAAAAGCGCUUCGGACGCAAUAAAUUAUUAAACGUGUUGUUUUCCAUUUUUUGAAUCCUUCCCCUUGGCCAUACAAUUGAAUAUUUACCAAUGAAGACCCUGUAUUUUCCAACAACUUUUGAAGCCUCUUAUUUGCUUUUUGUUAACAUAUAUUUACAAAUUGUCGAAAAAAUCGGUUUGACAUUUCAUGAAUAACAAGUAAUCUUUCAAACUGUAUUUAUUUGAGUUAUGUAUGGUUGCACAUGUUCCAAUGAGUAAAACAAAAAAUUAUCUCAAUAUCAAAAUAAUGUCAGAUUAGGUGUUUACAACUGACCAGAUAUUCAUAACAUACUAACAUUGUACAUAUUUUCUGUUUCGUAUUGUCUUUUCAUACAUUUAAUUGUACAUUGCAUGUUAAAUGUAUUGAUA